rnacentral:rRNA from 1 species
CAAUGAUUGGCGGUUGAUCCUGGCGGAGGCUACUGCUAUUGGGAUUCGAUUAAGCCCUGCAAGUUGAAUGAAUUUAGAUUCAUGGCGUACGGCUCAGUAACACGUGGAUAACUUACCCUUAGGACUGGGAUAACUCUGGGAAACUGGGGAUAAUACCGGAUAUUAGGCUAUGUCUGCAAUGGUUUGCCUUUGAAAUGUUUCUUUGUAUUCGCCUAAUGAUACAUCUGCGGCUGAUUAGGUCGUUGGUGGGGUAAUGGCCCACCAAGCCGAUGAUCGGUACGGGUUGUGAGGGCAAGGGCCCGGAGAUGGAACCUGAGAUAAGGUUCUAGACUCUACGGGGUGCAGCAGGCGCGAAACCUCCGCAAUGUACGAAAGUGCGACGGGGGGAUCCCAAGUGUUAUGCUUAAAGGGUAUGAUUUUUCAUUAGUGGAAAAACCCUUUAUAAAAAGAACUGGGCAAGACCUGUGGCAGCCGCCGUGGUAACACCGGCAGUUCGGGUGGGACUUGUUUUAAUGGGGCUAUAUCGUCCUAAGCGGGUUAUUACUCUUGGUGAAAGCUCGUAUCUUAAAUUACGUCAAUUGGGCGGGGAAUAAUAUUGGGACUUAAAUCUCGGAAAGUUAGAUGUCCUACCCGGGUUAGGGCUGGAAC